UACGUAGGGGGCAAGCGUUGUCCGGAUUUAUUGGGCGUAAAGAGCGUGUAGGCGGCUGGGUAGGUCCGUUGUGAAAACUCGAGGCUCAACCUCGAGACGCCGAUGGAAACCCUCCAGCUAGAGUCCGGAAGAGGAGAGUGGAAUUCCUGGUGUAGCGGUGAAAUGCGCAGAUAUCAAGGAAGAACACCCGUGGCGAAGGCGGCUCUCUGGGACGGUACUGACGCUGAGACGCGAAAGCGUGGGGAGCGAACAGG
rnacentral:rRNA from 1 species